AUCACGGAGUUAGUUACAGAUUAUGGCCAAACACAAUGGAAUAGAACAUUGCCUGUGAAGAGAACAGAAUGUUCUGGCUCGGAAAAGAACUGGUCUGACCUAUGGAGAUAAGCAGAGAGAGAUUGGGAAGAGCACGCAGAGCGGGAUCACAUGAAGGACAGCUUCUCCACAGAGACCAAGGAAAAAGGAACAACAACAUAAUGAGUGAAAAGGAGAUCAGGAAAAAAAGGGGGGGGGGAGGAAAUUGUGACUAAAGAUGAAAACUUUAAUUACAAUGACCUAAAGAGCUCAGGAAGAAGCAGACUGUCUAGCAGAUUUUUAUGUUUCCUAUGUAUGUAGCUAUGAUUAAAGUAAUGUCAUAAGAUAUAAUUCAUACCUUCAGAUAUUAUUAUAAAUAUACACAUUGGGCUAUUAAUUUCAAGAUACUAAAGACACUAAUGCCUGCAGUGGGUAAACCAGGAAUAUUUACAUGAAGUUCUUCAAGUGAACAAAGUUCUCAUAAUAGUGAACAGAAUCUGAAAAAUCAGUUUUUCUGACAAUCUGCAUAGGACCUAAUUUAACGCUGCAGUUACGAAGAACAAAGCACAUAAACAAGGAAACUGCAAGGAAAUUUUCAUUUCUAGAAAAACAGUAAAGACAGUACACAAAAGGAACUGCACUGACUGACAGAUAUUCACAAACUCCUAACAAAAGUCAACAGCUUCCUGCCAACGAAGAAACAUGCCGGGGGCCCCAGGAUGUGGAUAAUAAGAAAGGUUUGAAGAGCCAGUGACACCAAGCAACAUUUAAGUUCCAGACAUUUCACAAGAUAAAAGAGCAAAUGCAAUCCAUAGUCUCCGAUAGCCAGCUUUGGGAAGAAGAGUUAAAGUAGUGAUGUAAACAAGAGAUUCAGCUGAGAAUCAUACAAUGGGAGACUGUAACAGCAUGGCCUGACCAGAUUUGUUGGUUUGAGAAAAGCCUCUUUGAACAAAUGUCUGCUAAGCUGAGGCCUAAAGAAUGUCUCAGAGGAAACCAGGACAGAGUGACCAGAAAACAUCUCUGAGAGGAACAAAAUGUGUGAAAAGACGAGGUUGGCAUGACUCUGAAAAUGUCUCUUUUUAAAAAAUGGUUCAUCUAGAAUUUGAAAUCACAACAAAAAAAAGUUGCAUUUGCAACAUGGAUGGACCUUGAAGAAAUGCUAAAUGAAUAAAUA